UGAGUACGAGAUGCUACGGCAUCGAAGCAGUCUAUGUCAUACUUCCAAGAAAAGCUUGCACUGUCAGAAACAGAUAAUGCCUGUACCAUAACCGACACAGGUGGGUAGGUAGAGUAUACUAAGGGGCGCGAGAUAACUCUCUCUAAGGAACUCGGCAAAAUGACUCCGUAACUUCGGGAGAAGGAGUGCCUUAUUUUUAAGGUUGCAAUAACAAGAUCCAAGCAACUGUUUACCAAAAACACAGGUCUCCGCUAAGUCGUAAGACGAUGUAUGGGGGCUGACGCCUGCCCAGUGCCAGAAGGUUAAAGAAGUCGGUUAGCAUUCGCGAAGCUGGUAACUGAAGCCCUGGUGAACGGCGGCCGUAACAAUAACGGUCCUAAGGUAGCGAAAUUCCUUGUCGGGUAAGUUCCGACCCGCACGAAAGGCGUAAUGAUUUGGAUACUGUCUCGGAGAGGGGCUCGGUGAAAUAGACUUGUCUGUGAAGAUGCGGACUACCUGCACCUGGACAGAAAGACCCUAUGAAGCUUUACUGUAACUUGAAAUUGAAAUUGGACUUUAUUUGCGCAGUAUAGGUGGGAGGCGUUGAAAAUAUUCUUGCGGGAAUAUUGGAGCCAUCAGUGAGAUACCACUCUUGUAAUGUUAGAUUUCUAACUUUAUAUCAUUAUCUGGUUAAAGAACAGUUUCAGGCGGGCAGUUUGACUGGGGCGGUCGCCUCCCAAAUGGUAACGGAGGCGCACAAAGGUUUCCUCUGAACGGGUAGAAAUCGUAUCUAGAGUGUAAAGGCAUAAGGAAGCUUGACUGUGAGACCUACAAGUCGAGCAGGGACGAAAGUCGGUCUUAGUGAUCUGACGGUGCUGAGUGGAAAGGCCGUCACUCAACGGAUAAAAGUUACUCUAGGAUAACAGGCUGAUCUCCCCCAAGAGUUCACAUCGACGGGGAGGUUUGGCACCUCGAUGUCGGCUCAUCGCAUCCUGGGGCGGUAGUACGUCCCAAGGGUUGGGCUGUUCGCCCAUGAAAGCGGUACGCGAGCUGGGUUCAGAACGUCGUGAGACAGUUCGGUCCAUAUCCGGUGUAGGCGUUAGAAUAUUGAGAGGAGCCUUCUUUAGUACGAGAGGACCGAGAAGGACAUACCUCUGGUGUACCAGUUAUCGUGCCAACGGUAAACGCUGGGUAGCUAUGUAUGGAGUGGAUAACCGCUGAAAGCAUCUAAGUGGGAAGCCCACCUCAAGAUAAGUAUUCUC
rnacentral:rRNA from 1 species